rnacentral:tRNA from 1 species
UAUGUGAUAAUAUUAAGUGUUGGGGUGGUCUACAUAGAUUAUUUAUAUAAAUCAUGAUGCUGUUAACUUCAGGAA